UACGUAGGUGGCAAGCGUUGUCCGGAUUUAUUGGGUUUAAAGGGUGCGUAGGCGGUUCCAUAAGUCAGUGGUGAAAUACGGCAGCUCAACUGUCGAGGUGCCAUUGAUACUGCGGAACUUGAGUACUGAUGAGGUAGGCGGAAUUGACGGUGUAGCGGUGAAAUGCUUAGAUAUCGUCAAGAACACCGAUAGCGAAGGCAGCUUACCAAGCAGUAACUGACGCUGAGGCACGAAAGUGCGGGGAUCAAACAGG
rnacentral:rRNA from 3 species